CACUAGCUGGAUCAUCCAGC
rnacentral:misc_RNA from 1 species